AACAAACUUUAGGGGUGUCCCAUAUUUGUGGGCUGAGAUUAUACCCUCCGAACCUGAUGCAGUUCAUACUGCCGAAGGGAAAAGUAAGAGCUAAGCU
rnacentral:ncRNA from 2 species